rnacentral:rRNA from 1 species
UGCAUGAGUGGCGGACGGGUGAGUAACGCGUGGGCAACCUGGCCUGUACAGGGGGAUAACACUUAGAAAUAGGUGCUAAUACCGCAUAACGGGGGAAGCCGCAUGGCUUUUCCCUGAAAACUCCGGUGGUACAGGAUGGGCCCGCGUCUGAUUAGCCAGUUGGCGGGGUAACGGCCUACCAAAGCGACGAUCAGUAGCCGGCCUGAGAGGGCGGACGGCCACACUGGGACUGAGACACGGCCCAGACUCCUACGGGAGGCAGCAG